rnacentral:rRNA from 1 species
UACGUAGGUGGCGAGCGUUAUCCGGAAUUAUUGGGCGUAAAGCGCGCGCAGGCGGUUCCUUAAGUCUGAUGUGAAAGCCCACGGCUCAACCGUGGAGGGUCAUUGGAAACUGGGGAACUUGAGUGCAGAAGAAGAAGAGCGGAAUUCCACGUGUAGCGGUGAAAUGCGUAGAGAUGUGGAGGAACACCAGUGGCGAAGGCGGCUCUUUGGUCUGUAACUGACGCUGAGGCGCGAAAGCGUGGGGAGCAAACAGG